UACGAAGGGGGCUAGCGUUGUUCGGAAUUACUGGGCGUAAAGGGCGCGUAGGCGGCUCUGAUCGUCGGAUGUGAAAGGCCUGGGCUCAACCUGGGAAUGGCAUCCGAUACGGCGGGGCUGGAGUGUGGGAGAGGUUGGUGGAAUUCCCAGUGUAGAGGUGAAAUUCGUAGAUAUUGGGAAGAACACCGGUGGCGAAGGCGGCCAACUGGACCACAACUGACGCUGAGGCGCGAAAGCCAGGGGAGCAAACGGG
rnacentral:rRNA from 1 species